AGAGAGGAAUGAGGGGAAGUCAAAGUGUCCAGAGAGGAACGAGGGGAAGUCAAAGUGUCCAGAGAGGAGUGAGGGGAAGUCAAAGUGUCCAGAGAGGAAUGAGGGGAAGUCAAAGUGUCCAGAGAGGAAUGAGGGGAAGUCAAAGUGUCCAGAGAGGAGAGCCGAGCAUCCACCGCGGGUAGCCCUGAUCACGUGACCACCCUGUCUGCUGCUGGCUGAGUGAAGCGUGUUAGCAGAUUUUUUUAUUUUGUACAUACAGAGUUUUGUAUAUACUGUAUAAGAUGAGCUCGCUGGGCGGCGAGAAGGCCCGCGGCCCCCGUGAAAAAGUGCCGCCUGCUGCCACUCACACAUCCCAACCACAAAAACAGAUACAGGCUACUGCUGAGCAAAUCCGGCUUGCACAGAUGAUCUAUGACAAGAAUGAUGCUGACUUUGAAGACAAAGUGAAUCAGCUAAUGGAGGUGACUGGCAAGAACCAGGAUGAAUGUAUGGUCGCGCUCCAUGACUGCAACGAGGACGUGAGCAGAGCCAUCAACUUCCUCCUGGAGAGCACCUCGGACAUGACCUCAUGGGAGACUGUAGGCAAGAAGAAGCCGCUGACAAAGGAGGGUGCCUCAGAAAGCAAGGAGAACAAGGAGAACCGGGAGAAGAAAGGCGAGAGAGAGGCCAGCAAAGGCCGUGCAGGUUCCAACCGCAAGGGCAAAGGGGCCAAUCGAAGCCGACAGGGCGCAGUUCGUUCAGAGGAAAAUGGCGUAGAGGUGACCCCGGUGGACCGAAGUUCCGAUCGAGGGCGGAGGACGAAAGGUGGCAGGGUGUCUGCUGGUCGAGGCAGAGGAAGAGCACCAACAGCGAGCAGAUUUUCAGCCCAGGGAAUGGGGACCUUCAACCCUGCAGACUAUACCUCAGAGGCAAGGACGGCGACCACACAGAGUGAGGCUUGGGACACAGCAGCUAACAACAAUUCAGAUGAAACGGCUAACUGGAAGAACCCCAUUGAAGACUACGGAUCUGAGGACUGGAGUGAGGAUGUUAGUCUCUCGGAGACCAAAGUGUUCACUUCUUCAUGUGCGCCUCCUGCUGAAAACCACAUCACUCCUGGGCAAAGUCUGGACCUCGCCUCCCUGCUGCAGAAGCCUGUGGUCGGAGGCAGAGAAGCACCCGCCUCCUCCUCCUCCCCGCAGAGUCUGGUCUUCACUAACUCUCACCACCACCAGCCGCCCCAGCAGCAACAUCAGCAGCCCCCUCCCAGCCGCAACACCACCAGCGGCACCAGCUAUGCUCACGCUGCUUUGUCGUCAGUCCUGGGAGCGGGGUUCGGAGACCUGGGCCAAGCCAAGAGGUCCGCGCCAAGUGCCGGAGCUCAGAUACUGGAACAGCUGAAGGGCCCUGGCUUGGGUCCUCUGCCAUCAUCCCAAGUGGCCCCUCUCGCCAGCACCCAGGGAGGAAACCAUUCAAGUGGUCGUCUGCCAGCCCUGGGAGCACCUGUACCUCCGCCCUCCUCCUCCAGCUGGGACAUGAAGGUGCCCGAAUCCAACACCACCUCACUGUCCUCACAGUUCAGCCGUGAGUUUGGCCUCCAGCCAGAACCUUCACUAGUGCUGAGCCAGCUCAUUCAGAGGCACACGGGCCCCUCACUGCCUCUGGCUCGUCAGCCCAGUCCCCAAUCGCAACAACAAGCGCCCCCUGCAUCCGUCUCCUCUGCUUCUCAGCACAGCGGCACGUCGACACAAGCGGGCCCGGUGACGGCGGCUGCUGGUGCCAAACAUCCAGCCCCAGGUGCAGGGCUGGAAGCUCAGGGCUGCGGCACACCACAGCAGCAGCGAGCACAGCUAAAAGGCCAGAAACGAAGGAUACCUCCAACUUCGAAGAUCCCCGCCACGGCAGUAGAGAUGCCCGGCGCCACGGAUCUCCCCGGUCUUAACCUUCAGUUUGGAGCGCUCGACUUUGGCUCUGAAUCCGCUCUGCCUGAGUUCGGAGUUGUGGACGGCUCUGUCAGCGCACCAUCCAGGGAUUCCUCUUCGGCACCUGGCCUGGUGCCACCUGCAUCAGGACCAGGGACGCAGAGCCAGACCAGCAUGUACUCCAAACCGCUCAGUGAGUCGCUGGGGAGCCCUCUCUCGGUCGACCUCCCUCUUCCUCUCUCCUCGUCGGAGCCGGCAUAUCACUCUUCCUCGGCGGCACUGCCCAGUCUCACGGCCUCUUCAUUAGGGACGGCCAGCUCGGCCUCAUUGUCACUCACCACAUCCACCACCUCCUCGUGCUCCGUACCCUCGGCCUCCCCCUUCUCUGCAGUGGGAGGAAGCUUUGAGGGGCCCAUGCCUCCCCACACUCGACUCUCUUUCCCCCAGAGCAAAGAAACCACUGGGCCAGUUAUGAAUGGUCUGAAUGGAGUUAGGACCUCUACAGCUUUAGACAUUCCCUCAGCGUCGUCCACACCAAAGCCCGAAUCUCCGUCUCUCAACGUCAACACCAACGGCGCUCCGCCCCCCUCCUCCCACUUAGCCCCUCCCACCUUGCCCGCACAGACCUCCACCACGCUGUCCGGCCUGGUACAGGAUCUUCCCUCUGCCAGCCAGCUUAACUCCCUCAACAGCCAUGCCAGCAGUCUUUCCUCAUCCCUCGGCUCUAGUGCCCUCACCUACAGCAGCGUUGACAGCAACAACGUGGGCUCUCUCACGCCCUCCUCUGGCCCCUACACGCCAUUGCACCCGGCGCCCUCAUCCCUCCACUCGGCCCACAUCAGCAGCAACAGUAGCAGCAACAGCAUCAGUCACCUGGUCAGCAUGUCCAACAUGGGCGGCAACAUGGUGGGCAACAUGGUGGGAGGUAUGGUCGGCACCGGCGGACUUCACUCUGCUGCCAGCAGCUCAGCGCUGGGACUUGGCUCCAAUGGAGUUACCGGCAUAUCCAACCUUGCCGCACCCAGGAACACUCCCCUGCUCUCCUCCUCCACUGGUAAAGCCCCUCCUAACCUGUCCCAAGGAGUUCCUCCUCUGAUGCCCAACCAGUACAUCAUGGGUCCAGGAGGACUGUUGGCAGCGUAUCCACAGAUGUACGGCUAUGAGGACCUCCAUAUGCUCCAGUCCAGACUGCCCAUGCCUUCUCUGCAGGAUUACUACGGCAUCACAUUCCCCGGCCCCACCGCCACUCUGUCCAGCAGAGACGGGGGCCUGGCCAACAACCCCUACUCAGGUGAAGUCACAAAGUUUGGUAGGAACGACUCCACCUCUCCAGCACCGCCCGCCAGCCUGGCAGCUCAGCAGCAGCCCCCCCAGGGCCAAAGUCAGGGCCAGAACCAAGGCCAAGCUCCGCCUCCUCAGGCCCCGCCUCAGCCGCAGGGCCAACCUCAGCACCACAGCAGUCAGCAGGCCUUCCUGCCUCCCGGCUACAGCUACACGGGACUGCCUUACUACGCCGGGAUGCCCGGCGCCGUUCCCGGCGCGGCCGCCUUCCAGUACGGCCCCACCAUGUUUGUUCCCCCGGGGGGUCCGGGCUCGGCCAAGCAGCACGGCAUGGGUCUCGGCCUGGGCAACCCGUCGGCGAGCCCCUUCCAGCAGCAGACGCAACAGCAGCCCGGCGGUUACGGCCAGCACACCUUCAGCUCAGGGUAUGAGGAUCUGCCGGCAGGAGUGGACUACAGUAAAGUACAGUAGACUACAGUGUGUGUGUGUGUGUGUGUGCAGGGUAUGAGGAUCUGCCGGCAGGAGUGGACUACAGUAAAGUACAGUAGACUACAGUGUGUGUGUGUGUGUGUGUGCAGGGUAUGAGGAUCUGCCGGCAGGAGUGGACUACAGUAAAGUACAGUAGACUACAGUGUGUGUGUGUGUGUGUGUGCAGGGUAUGAGGAUCUGCCGGCAGGAGUGGACUACAGUAAAGUACAGUAGACUACAGUGUGUGUGUGUGUGUGUGUGCAGGGUAUGAGGAUCUGCCGGCAGGAGUGGACUACAGUAAAGUACAGUAGACUACAGUGUGUGUGUGUGUGUGUGUGCAGGGUAUGAGGAUCUGCCGGCAGGAGUGGACUACAGUAAAGUACAGUAGACUACAGUGUGUGUGUGUGUGUGUGUGCAGGGUAUGAGGAUCUGCCGGCAGGAGUGGACUACAGUAAAGUACAGUAGACUACAGUGUGUGUGUGUGUGUGUGUGCAGGGUAUGAGGAUCUGCCGGCAGGAGUGGACUACAGUAAAGUACAGUAGACUACAGUGUGUGUGUGUGUGUGUGUGCAGGGUAUGAGGAUCUGCCGGCAGGAGUGGACUACAGUAAAGUACAGUAGACUACAGUGUGUGUGUGUGUGUGUGUGCAGGGUAUGAGGAUCUGCCGGCAGGAGUGGACUACAGUAAAGUACAGUGGACUACAGUGUGUGUGUGUGUGUGUGUGCAGGGUAUGAGGAUCUGCCGGCAGGAGUGGACUACAGUAAAGUACAGUAGACUACAGUGUGUGUGUGUGUGUGUGUGCAGGGUAUGAGGAUCUGCCGGCAGGAGUGGACUACAGUAAAGUACAGUAGACUACAGUGUGUGUGUGUGUGUGUGUGCAGGGUAUGAGGAUCUGCCGGCAGGAGUGGACUACAGUAAAGUACAGUAGACUACAGUGUGUGUGUGUGUGUGUGUGCAGGGUAUGAGGAUCUGCCGGCAGGAGUGGACUACAGUAAAGGCUACAACUCGUCCCCUCAGGCAGCCAAUAAGAGCGGCCCAGGAAAAGGUGUGUCGGUGACGUCCAGUAACUCUGGUGUGCCAGACAUCAGUGGGAGUGUUUACAAUAAGACCCAG